GAACGUUGUCGGAUCCGGUAGCCGGUAGAUACGUUUGGUGGUACAAGAAACGUUUCGCGGCCGACUGAAGGGUUCAGGUUGGUGGCCAGCACUAUUGCCGCUGCUCGCUGCCUUAGUGAGCUUCGACACUCACCGUGGUGCUGCUGCUGGUCUCUGCGCGGAGCCCGUCGUCAGUGCUAGAUAGCGCCGUGGUGGUGUGCUCAGUGACGGUAGGCUGCCGUUGCCUUCGAGCUGGAACCGGCCGGUACCGGCGGUGGUGGAGUUCGAGGAGGACGGCGGUCGUGGUAGAGGAAGUACGAUGCCAUAGACAAACGUUUUUAUCUCAAGACGUUGUACUUGAGACAACGCUUUUUUUUAUUAGACUUUGUACUGGGGACAACGUUUUCUAAGACGUUUGCUAGAAAUGUAAUAAAAAAACAUUCUUUUAAGACGUUGUUUUAGAGACAACGUUUUUUUAUUCUUUCAUAUUUUAGGACACUAGAAAUCUUAAAGGCGUUGUUCUAGUGACAACGCUUUUUUUUAACAUUGUUCAGGAAACAACGUUUUUUAUCUUUUUUUAUGUGCGAGCCUACUAACGUUGUUCGUCUGACAACGUCUCCCAAUUACCAGUUGUUCUCCGAAAAGGCGUUGUGGUGAGAACAACGUUUCCUGAUCUACGAAUGCACCCAUCUAGCCUGCCGGCAAUGCAUAUGUAGAUUACCAGUCGUUCCGCCGCCUAGAAAAAAUUUAGGAAUAUUCAUAGAAAAAAUUUAGGAAUUCAUCACAAAAUCGUGAACACCGUAUGUAUCCGUGUUUGGAUUGUCCGGGACUUUCUGCCGGACAUCAAUUUUUAAGCCCUGUUCGGUUCCAAGUCGAGAUUAACCCGACCCUGCUUUGUGACUAGACGCUCCUUCAAAAUAAGCCGGGAGGAGCAGUAGUAGGAGCCUCAGGUCUUUGGAAGUGGUUGUACCGUUGUAGCUGGUACCCGCGGCGGCGCCGGCUAGAGCUCCGCGCAGUCGAGGAGUAGGAGGCAGCGCAGCUUCUGGAACUCGAGCGACGGGUCGUCGUGGCAGAACCCCGCGAGAGAGAGAGGCUGCGGCUUCGCCUCCACCUCCGCCCCCUGUGGCUCCUCGCCGAGAGCCGGGAGGACCGGCGCGCGCCGCACGUGCUGAAGCGGAAGGCCGCACAAGGUCGCCUGAUGAUGCUGGCGGGAGAGCUCCUCGCGGCGCUGGAGGAGCGGCGGCUAAGUCAACGGGUCGAAACGUUCUCGUAUCACUACCACUUAUGGUUUCGACGACGUCUACAUCAACUGACGUCAUUGGGUUUCUUAAGAUUCAUAAUGCAACAAUAACAAGUCAUAUACCGUGCCGAAUUACGACUUUUGUAGUUCUUGAAGGACAUAUGGGAUUUACUCUCAGUCUAUGGGUUUUUCUCUAAAUUGUACUCCGAGCGUGGUCUUCUCCUCAGUGAGUACGAAUGACCCAAACACGUGUUACCACACUGUACGUAGCCUUACUUUUGUCUGUAUGGCCAAUAGUAUCUACUUCGAUAGUGGUUCAACCUACUCCUAAAGAAGACCGAUCCACCACCUCUUCAACUGGAGUUCGAGCCCUACGCCUGGAGUGUCAAGGAAUUACGAAAGUUAGGUAAACACCACUUCACAUCAAUUGCUCACUAUUGGUAUGUUGAAUUGUCUUCGAAGUCUAGGUACACCAAGAUACGCCGGAACUAGUUGCGUGACGGUCCCUCCAUGUGAUCCGAAAACGAACCUAGACCCCAAUCCUACAGACAGAAAAAACCUCGUCCGCAAAGGGAAGGUCAACGCGAAGAGUGUAAAACAAUGUAAUAAAUGACGGCUAACAACCAUUUUAACUACGUCGCCUCCCCUGUAAGAACCCUUCUAGCUAUAUUAACGCCGUUCACCCGAAUAUGAUAAUGAUUCGGGAAACAUCAAACCCGGACUCUCAACUUUUGGUCACACUUCACACAUUCGGUCUGUAGACCGACGCAGGGGAGUUUUCUUCUUUUCUUCAGACCGUUGUUUUUGGUUUCAAACAAAGACAGAACAACAUGAUCAUGAGUUGUAGAAAAGUUACCUCGAAGAAUCGACAAAAGUUCAUAUUUUGGCGGUAAAAAUCUAUUAAACUCCAAUCUCGCAUGCAAACACCAAAGCUUUGCCCACCGAAACUAAGUACUCAAUCCGAUCUUAUUACACAAUUGUCCGACGAUUUAUUCCAUGUUUCCCUAGUUUUGGAUACCAAACUAGUAACUACCCGAGUUCAUGUUAGUGACGUGAUUGGUGAAUCUGGGUCCAACCACGAGAUUCUUCGUCUUUACUGUUAGUACAUCACCACGUAUAGACAUAACAAGAAUAGUAAAACGAGCAGAGUUCAAGGGUUCGGUGGUGAUACGUUGAGUAUUGAUGACCGGUUGAGAUCGCUCGGUACCCAACACACUGUCCGGUUCGUGGGGAGGACCACAGACAACAAAGUGGUGUGGCGGUCCCUGUAGUUACUGGAGCAGUCUUCAUGCACUACUAGUCCGGCUUGGACCCGGGGUACCCAUAUACUUUG
rnacentral:rRNA from 1 species